AGGGAAUCUUCCACAAUGGACGCAAGUCUGAUGGAGCAACGCCGCGUGAGUGAAGAAGGCUUUCGGGUCGUAAAACUCUGUUGUUGGAAAAGAAUGGUCGGCAGAGUAACUGUUGCCGGCGUGACGGUAUCCAACCAGAAAGCCACGGCUAACUACGUGCCAGCAGCCGCGGUAAUACGUAGGUGGCAAGCGUUAUCCGGAUUUAUUGGGCGUAAAGCGAGCGCAGGCGGUUUUUUAAGUCUGAUGUGAAAGCCCUCGGCUUAACCGAGGAAGCGCAUCGGAAACUGGGAAACUUGAGUGCAGAAGAGGACAGUGGAACUCCAUGUGUAGCGGUGAAAUGCGUAGAUAUAUGGAAGAACACCAGUGGCGAAGGCGGCUGUCUGGUCUGUAACUGACGCUGAGGCUCGAAAGCGUGGGGAGCAAAC
rnacentral:rRNA from 1 species